rnacentral:rRNA from 1 species
AACGAACGCUGGCGGCGUGCCUAAUACAUGCAAGUCGAGCGGACAGAAGGGAGCUUGCUCCCGGAAGUUAGCGGCGGACGGGUGAGUAACACGUGGGCAACCUACCCUGUAGAUCGGGAUAACAUCAAGAAAUCGGUGCUAAUACCGGAUAAUCAUUUGAAGUGCAUACUUCGAAUGUAAAAGAUGGCUCCGGCUAUCACUACGGGAUGGGCCCGCGGCGCAUUAGCUAGUUGGUAAGGUAAUGGCUUACCAAGGCAACGACGCGUAGCCGACCUGGGAGGGUGAGCGGCCACACGGGGACUGGAACACGGCCCAGACUCCUACGGGAGGCAGCAGUAGGGAAUCUUCCGCAAUGGACGAAAGUCUGACGGAGCAACGCCGCGUGAGUGAUGAAGGUUUUCGGAUCGUAAAGCUCUGUUGUUAGGGAAGAACAAGUGCCGUUUGAAUAAGGCGGCACCUUGACGGUACCUAACCAGAAAGCCACGGCUAACUACGUGCCAGCCGCCGCAGUAAUAC